UGGAUUUCAUAUUUUUCACG
rnacentral:miRNA from 1 species